CACCGGUCUUCCCACACCGUGUAUUCCGUGAACCCCGUCAGGCCCGGAAGGGAGCAGCGGCAGCGGAACACUCGGGUGCUGGGGUCGGGCUGGUGGAG
rnacentral:SRP_RNA from 1 species